rnacentral:rRNA from 1 species
UGGGGAAUAUUGCACAAUGGGCGAAAGCCUGAUGCAGCAACGCCGCGUGAGUGAUGAAGGUCUUCGGAUUGUAAAGCUCUGUCUUUUGGGACGAUAAUGACGGUACCAAAGGAGGAAGCCACGGCUAACUACGUGCCAGCAGCCGCGGUAAUACGUAGGUGGCGAGCGUUGUCCGGAUUUACUGGGCGUAAAGGGUGCGUAGGCGGAUGUUUAAGUGAGAUGUGAAAUACCCGGGCUUAACUUGGGUGCUGCAUUUCAAACUGGAUAUCUAGAGUGCAGGAGAGGAGAAUGGAAUUCCUAGUGUAGCGGUGAAAUGCGUAGAGAUUAGGAAGAACACCAGUGGCGAAGGCGAUUCUCUGGACUGUAACUGACGCUGAGGCACGAAAGCGUGGGUAGCAAACAGGAUUAGAUACCCUGGUAGUCCACGCCGUAAAACGAUGAGUACUAGGUGUAGGAGGUAUCGACCCCUUCUGUGCCGCAGUAA